rfam:Bacterium TASB14 DNA, scaffold: TASB14_scaffold_5.
UCGAUGUCGGCUCAUCGCAUCCUGGAGCUGGAGCAGGUUCCAAGGGUUUGGCUGUUCGCCAAUUAAAGCGGUACGCGAGCUGGGUUUAGAACGUCGUGAGACAGUUCGGUCCCUAUCUGUCGUGGGCGAGUGGAGAGUUGCGAGGGGCUGUCCUUAGUACGAGAGGACCGGGAUGGACGCACCGCUGGUGUGCCAGUUGUCGUGCCAACGGCAUCGCUGGGUAGCGACGUGCGGACGGGAGAACCGCUGAAAGCAUCUAAGCGGGAACCCCACCUCAAGAUGAGCUCUCCCGGGGCGCAAGUCCCCGAAGGUUCCUGGGAGACGACCAGGUCAAUAGGCGGGCUGUGGAGGCCGGGUAACCGGUAGAGCAGACCCGUACUACUCAACCGAGCGCGCCUUGACUCC